GAGGCGGAGGAUGAGGAGGAGGAGGAAGAGGAGGAGGAGGAGGAGGAGGAAAAGGAGGGGGAGGAGGAUGAGAACUGUUUUGCUGGUGCUUCAGAUCUGUGUGGAAGAGCAGCCGGAGAUGUUGAACUUGCAACGUUGCUCUUUGCUCCCACCCGGGUGUAAAGAGUGCAGGCUGGACGCCGUGAUGGCAGCUGGCUAGCGGCCGCGCCUGCCGCCAUCUCCGGGAACGCACAAUGGCAUCACCGGACUCUUUUAACUCUCAUAUUAAGCAUAUUCUACCCUUAAUUAUUCUUGAUAAUACGCGGAGAUAAUGGCCGAGCGAAGUUACAUCUGUUAAGAAGAUUUUGGUCCUCCAAGAAGGCGAGAUUUAAUGAUUAUACUUGAAGAAAGGUUUUUAACAUGAAGCAACACGGCAACACCAGCGCGCGGGAGAAACCAGUUUGCCGACGCCAUUUUGAAGUCGUGCGCUCGAUACAAGAAAUGAAGAAGAUAACGGCAUAAAGAUACAAGAUAGUGUGGAAAUUAAUUCGUCGGAUUAUCAGGAGGAGUUUGUUAUACAACAGGGAAUGUGUGCGAUAAGGAAGAAGUAUGAGAAGUGGCUUUCACACUUCAAUAUGAUGCUGCCAUCUCCGUGAGAUCAAGCUGUGAAAAGAUGCUGUGAUCAUCGUGAAAUGAAGUUACAAGAUUCUUGAAGAAGGUGUUAUGUCUAACAAACUCUAUGGACUCUUUAGACUUUGUUACAGUGCUGGCAGUCUCUGAAACCUGAGAAAAAUAAAUUAUAAAUAAUAUUUAUUACUAUUGACUGCGUAUAAAUUGAUGAUCAUCACAUCUGAUUCCAUAUCCACACGGUCAUCACAUCACGGGACCAUAAUCGCAUAACCCUAAGUAAUGGAAAAUGUGUGGAUCCUCUCCAGCAAGAUAGAGAAUUCGGGUAUGAAGAACUGAUUUCCUGGAUUACUUACCGGGUCCGAGCUAUUGAGUUCCAGCGACCGUAGUGCUCUGGAGGGCGCCGUGGGCGAAUGGACGGCAUGGGCUAGCUGGCAGAGAGGAUUGGAAAUGCCGAUUACUUCCAGCUUGUGCAGGCAGCGAAACUCAACAGGCACCAACGGAUUAAAUCAAGCACCAGCAGCUUCCCUCAGAUAUCCGCAGCUACACUCAGGCACCAGCAGCAGGAAUGACACUGUUACGCUAAUAACGAUAUUCGUUCAUCAUAGAUUUGUCCUUCAAGGGAAGGGGAAAUUGUCUUGAUAUCAGUGAAGGGCUAUUGAUCGAAGGAAUUGAACCUACCUCGCCCCUUUCCAUGGAUAAAACCUUAUUAUCUCCUAUUUUCUGUACGACGUGUAAACACCUAUAGGUUCAGGGCUUCUCCAUAAAUAAAAUAAUAAGUUAACGAAGAGAAAAUUGUCCCGUUUCCCAAUGAAUAAAACAACCCACUGUUAGAUAUC